UACGUAGGGGGCUAGCGUUGUCCGGGAUCAUUGGGCGUAAAGAGCGUGUAGGCGGCUCGGUAAGUCCGCUCUGAAAUCCCCCGGCUCAACCGGGGAACGGGCACCGAUACGAGCGGCCUCGAGGGGGGUAGGGGGGUCUGGAACUUCCGGUGGAGCGGUGAAAUGCGUUGAGAUCGGAAGGAACGCCCGUGGCGAAAGCGAGGCCCUGGACCCUUACUGACGCUGAGACGCGAAAGCCAGGGGAGCGAACGGG
rnacentral:rRNA from 1 species